GAUGAACGCUGGCGGUUUGCCUAAUACAUGCAAGUCGAGCGAACGGACGAGAAGCUUGCUUCUCUGAUGUUAGCGGCGGACGGGUGAGUAACACGUGGAUAACCUACCUAUAAGACUGGGAUAACUUCGGGAAACCGGAGCUAAUACCGGAUAAUAUUUUGAACCGCAUGGUUCAAAAGUGAAAGACGGUCUUGCUGUCACUUAUAGAUGGAUCCGCGCUGCAUUAGCUAGUUGGUAAGGUAACGGCUUACCAAGGCAACGAUGCAUAGCCGACCUGAGAGGGUGAUCGGCCACACUGGAACUGAGACACGGUCCAGACUCCUACGGGAGGCAGCAGUAGGGAAUCUUCCGCAAUGGGCGAAAGCCUGACGGAGCAACGCCGCGUGAGUGAUGAAGGUCUUCGGAUCGUAAAACUCUGUUAUUAGGGAAGAACAUAUGUGUAAGUAACUGUGCACAUCUUGACGGUACCUAAUCAGAAAGCCACGGCUAACUACGUGCCAGCAGCCGCGGUAAUACGUAGGUGGCAAGCGUUAUCCGGAAUUAUUGGGCGUAAAGCGCGCGUAGGCGGUUUUUUAAGUCUGAUGUGAAAGCCCACGGCUCAACCGUGGAGGGUCAUUGGAAACUGGAAAACUUGAGUGCAGAAGAGGAAAGUGGAAUUCCAUGUGUAGCGGUGAAAUGCGCAGAGAUAUGGAGGAACACCAGUGGCGAAGGCGACUUUCUGGUCUGUAACUGACGCUGAUGUGCGAAAGCGUGGGGAUCGAACAGGAUUAGAUACCCUGGUAGUCCACGCCGUAAACGAUGAGUGCUAAGUGUUAGGGGGUUUCCGCCCCUUAGUGCUGCAGCUAACGCAUUAAGCACUCCGCCUGGGGAGUACGACCGCAAGGUUGAAACUCAAAGGAAUUGACGGGGACCCGCACAAGCGGUGGAGCAUGUGGUUUAAUUCGAAGCAACGCGAAGAACCUUACCAAAUCUUGACAUCCUUUGACAACUCUAGAGAUAGAGCCUUCCCCUUCGGGGGACAAAGUGACAGGUGGUGCAUGGUUGUCGUCAGCUCGUGUCGUGAGAUGUUGGGUUAAGUCCCGCAACGAGCGCAACCCUUAAGCUUAGUUGCCAUCAUUAAGUUGGGCACUCUAAGUUGACUGCCGGUGACAAACCGGAGGAAGGUGGGGAUGACGUCAAAUCAUCAUGCCCCUUAUGAUUUGGGCUACACACGUGCUACAAUGGACAAUACAAAGGGCAGCGAAACCGCGAGGUCAAGCAAAUCCCAUAAAGUUGUUCUCAGUUCGGAUUGUAGUCUGCAACUCGACUACAUGAAGCUGGAAUCGCUAGUAAUCGUAGAUCAGCAUGCUACGGUGAAUACGUUCCCGGGUCU
rnacentral:rRNA from 1 species